UCCGUCUAGACAUGAGGAAGACCGUUCUUCUCUUCAUUGUUUUGUCUCAAGCCAUUUUCGAGAAUGUUCUUUCAAUUACUAACGUGCCUGUACCGUUAUUGGAUGGUAAAUGCGCAUACUUCAACGAAACGCUCGAAGACGGAAUGAUAACGCUAACGGCAAAUCCAUGUGAAAAAUUAGCUUGCAAUGUUUCAAGAGCUGAAGUGGAAGUUACGGGAUGCCCAAAGGAACCCGGU
rnacentral:lncRNA from 1 species